rnacentral:tRNA from 1 species
GGGCCGUUAGCUCAGGUGGUAGAGCACCUGAUUUUUAAUCAGGGGGUCGCAGGUUCGAGUCCUGCACGGCCCA